rnacentral:rRNA from 1 species
UACGUAGGGUGCGAGCGUUGUCCGGAAUUAUUGGGCGUAAAGAGCUUGUAGGUGGUUUGUCGCGUCUGCUGUGAAAAUCCGAGGCUCAACCUCGGACUUGCAGUGGGUACGGGCAGACUAGAGUGUGGUAGGGGAGACUGGAAUUCCUGGUGUAGCGGUUGGAAUGCGCAGAUAUCAGGAGGAACACCGAUGGCGAAGGCAGGUCUCUGGGCCAUUACUGACACUGAGAAGCGAA